rnacentral:rRNA from 1 species
UGCGCAGGCGGUGAUGUAAGACAGAUGUGAAAUCCCCGGGCUCAACCUGGGACCUGCAUUUGUGACUGCAUCGCUAGAGUACGGCAGAGGGGGAUGGAAUUCCGCGUGUAGCAGUGAAAUGCGUAGAUAUGCGGAGGAACACCGAUGGCGAAGGCAACCCCCUGGGCCUGUACUGACGCUCAUGCACGAAAGCGUGGGGAGCAAACAGGAUUAGAUACCCUGGUAGUCCACGCCCUAAACGAUGUCAACUGGUUGUUGGGUCUUCACUGACUCAGUAACGAAGCUAACGCGUGAAGUUGACCGCCUGGGGAGUACGGCCGCAAGGUUGAA